rnacentral:rRNA from 1 species
GGUUAAGCGACUAAGCGUACACGGUGGAUGCCCUGGCAGUCAGAGGCGAUGAAGGACGUGCUAAUCUGCGAAAAGCGUCGGUAAGGUGAUAUGAACCGUUACAGCCGGCGAUGUCCGAAUGGGGAAACCCAGUGCAAUUCGUUGCACUAUCGUUAACUGAAUACAUAGGUUAACGAGGCGAACCGGGGGAACUGAAACAUCUAAGUACCCCGAGGAAAAGAAAUCAACCGAGAUUCCCCCAGUAGCGGCGAGCGAACGGGGAGCAGCCCAGAGUCUGAAUCAGCUUGUGUGUUAGUGGAACGGUCUGGAAAGUCCGACGGUACAGGGUGAUAGUCCCGUACACCAAAAUGCACAGGCUGUGAACUCGAAGAGUAGGGCGGGACACGUGGUAUCCUGUCUGAAUAUGGGGGGACCAUCCUCCAAGGCUAAAUACUCCUGACUGACCGAUAGUGAACCAGUACCGUGAGGGAAAGGCGAAAAGAACCCCGGCGAGGGGAGUGAAAAAGAACCUGAAACCGUGUACGUACAAGCAGUGGGAGCACCUUCGGGUGUGACUGCGUACCUUUUGUAUAAUGGGUCAGCGACUUAUAUUCUGUAGCAAGGUUAACCGUAUAGGGGAGCCGCAGGGAAACCGAGUCUUAACUGGGCGUUAAGUUGCAGGGUAUAGACCCGAAACCCGGUGAUCUAGCCAUGGGCAGGUUGAAGGUUGGGUAACACUAACUGGAGGACCGAACCGACUAAUGUUGAAAAAUUAGCGGAUGACUUGUGGCUGGGGGUGAAAGGCCAAUCAAACCGGGAGAUAGCUGGUUCUCCCCGAAAGCUAUUUAGGUAGCGCCUCGUGAAUUCAUCUUCGGGGGUAGAGCACUGUUUCGGCUAGGGGGUCAUCCCGACUUACCAACCCGAUGCAAACUACGAAUACCGAAGAAUGUUAUCACGGGAGACACACGGCGGGUGCUAACGUCCGUCGUGAAGAGGGAAACAACCCAGACCGCCAGCUAAGGUCCCAAAGUCACAGUUAAGUGGGAAACGAUGUGGGAAGGCACAGACAGCCAGGAUGUUGGCUUAGAAGCAGCCAUCAUUUAAAGAAAGCGUAAUAGCUCACUGGUCGAGUCGGCCUGCGCGGAAGAUGUAACGGGGCUAAACUGUGCACCGAAGCUGCGGCAGCGACACUAUGUGUUGUUGGGUAGGGGAGCGUUCUGUAAGCCUGCGAAGGUGGCCUGUGAGGGUUGCUGGAGGUAUCAGAAGUGCGAAUGCUGACAUAAGUAACGAUAAUGCGGGUGAAAAGCCCGCACGCCGGAAGACCAAGGGUUCCUGUCCAACGUUAAUCGGGGCAGGGUGAGUCGACCCCUAAGGCGAGGCCGAAAGGCGUAGUCGAUGGGAAACAGGUUAAUAUUCCUGUACUUGGUGUUACUGCGAAGGGGGGACGGAGAAGGCUAUGUUAGCCGGGCGACGGUUGUCCCGGUUUAAGCAUGUAGGCGGAGGUUCCAGGUAAAUCCGGUACCUUUUAACGCUGAGGUGUGAUGACGAGGCACUACGGUGCUGAAGUAACAAAUGCCCUGCUUCCAGGAAAAGCCUCUAAGCAUCAGGUAACAUUGAAUCGUACCCCAAACCGACACAGGUGGUCAGGUAGAGAAUACCAAGGCGCUUGAGAGAACUCGGGUGAAGGAACUAGGCAAAAUGGUGCCGUAACUUCGGGAGAAGGCACGCUGAUAUGUAGGUGAAGUCCCUGCGGGUGGAGCUGAAAUCAGUCGAAGAUACCAGCUGGCUGCAACUGUUUAUUAAAAACACAGCACUGUGCAAACACGAAAGUGGACGUAUACGGUGUGACGCCUGCCCGGUGCCGGAAGGUUAAUUGAUGGGGUUAUCCGUAAGGAGAAGCUCUUGAUCGAAGCCCCGGUAAACGGCGGCCGUAACUAUAACGGUCCUAAGGUAGCGAAAUUCCUUGUCGGGUAAGUUCCGACCUGCACGAAUGGCGUAAUGAUGGCCAGGCUGUCUCCACCCGAGACUCAGUGAAAUUGAACUCGCUGUGAAGAUGCAGUGUACCCGCGGCAAGACGGAAAGACCCCGUGAACCUUUACUAUAGCUUGACACUGAACAUUGAGCCUUGAUGUGUAGGAUAGGUGGGAGGCUUUGAAGCGUGGACGCCAGUCUGCGUGGAGCCAACCUUGAAAUACCACCCUUUAAUGUUUGAUGUUCUAACGUUGGCCCCUAAUCGGGGUUGCGGACAGUGUCUGGUGGGUAGUUUGACUGGGGCGGUCUCCUCCCAAAGAGUAACGGAGGAGCACGAAGGUUAGCUAAUCCUGGUCGGACAUCAGGAGGUUAGUGCAAUGGCAUAAGCUAGCUUGACUGCGAGCGUGACGGCGCGAGCAGGUGCGAAAGCAGGUCAUAGUGAUCCGGUGGUUCUGAAUGGAAGGGCCAUCGCUCAACGGAUAAAAGGUACUCCGGGGAUAACAGGCUGAUACCGCCCAAGAGUUCAUAUCGACGGCGGUGUUUGGCACCUCGAUGUCGGCUCAUCACAUCCUGGGGCUGAAGUAGGUCCCAAGGGUAUGGCUGUUCGCCAUUUAAAGUGGUACGCGAGCUGGGUUUAGAACGUCGUGAGACAGUUCGGUCCCUAUCUGCCGUGGGCGCUGGAGAAUUGAGGGGGGCUGCUCCUAGUACGAGAGGACCGGAGUGGACGCAUCACUGGUGUUCGGGUUGUCAUGCCAAUGGCAUUGCCCGGUAGCUAAAUGCGGAAGAGAUAAGUGCUGAAAGCAUCUAAGCACGAAACUUGCCCCGAGAUGAGUUCUCCCUGAGACUUUAAGUCUCCUGAAGGAACGUUAAAGACGAUGACGUUGAUAGGUCGGGUGUGUAAGCGUAGCGAUACGUUGAGCUAACCGAUACUAAUGAACCGUGAGGCUUAACCUUACAACGCCGAAGGUGUUUUG